CCUGCAAUUCUUUUGUCCUUUCAUUCGUCAAGUGACUAGGGUACCUUUCAUUUUCCAUUCGGUAUUUCAUUCGUUCUUACUUCCUUUUGUCUUCUAUUCACCAUUCUCCAUUCUCCAUCCUCCAUUUUCCAUUCCGUCAGUAUUUUUUUUGGUCUCUUUGUUGAACUUCCUUAUUCUUUAUUUUCAUAACUUACAAGACACCGACGUUCACCCCAUCAGCUUACAAGUCACCGUCGUUAACUGCAUCACCUUACUAAUCGUUCGUUUACAGGUUUUCGGUCACCCCAUUAGCUUUUAAUUUCAUUCGUCGUUCAUCUCUCAAAAUCCCUAUUGGGUAUCCUUCACUCAUGUAAAUGGCUGUUUUUUUUAGAAAUUAAGGUAGAGUUUCUAUGUUUCUGUUAUGGUGGAAUAGAGAUAUUUAUGUGUUUCUUUGUUUCCUUCACUCUAGUAAAUGUUUCUGUGUUUAUGAUUGUUAAUAAUUGGAGAGCUCUUCUUAUUUAGUUUUGUGGGAGGGAGUUCCCUCUAGCACCGUUCUUAAGCUAUUCUUUUGGCUAUUCUGAUGAAUAUAUUACCUUUGUUUUUUAUAGAAAAAAAGAUAUGAAAUAAUUGCUCUGUGUUAGAAGGCCACCUUUUUUCUUUGUGUAUGCUUACAAGCAGAAUGAGAAUCAUAAGGCUUAAUUUAGUAAUUUUUGUUAUGGUGAUAAAAUAACUACAUGAACUUGUUUAGUUUUCUUUAUCAUAGUUAUGUGCACAUGAACUGGUCUAUGAUUAGUUUUCUUUUGAGAGAAGAUUUAGAGAGAACCUGAAGAAGAAGAAAAGAUUUCUUAGUUUUAAGGUUGAAGAAGAAAGGGAAAAACUCAAAGGAAGCUUCCAUCAUGGCAGAUUUUCACCCACUCUACACACUUCUAAUUUUUUAUUCGGUUUGAUCUUUUCAAGAAGAACUAAGAGAGAAGGAAGAGCAGGUGUUUUCCAUGCGAAAUCAAAUAUCCUCUGGCUUUUUGAGUUUUCCGAUGUGUAUACAUUGGGUUAAAACCUCUAAUUGAUAUGGUUGAAAAUCUUAUUCAAUUUCCUCUAUAACUUUCAUGAAGAUACCGAGAACCAAUUAUGAUGGGAAAUGUGUUAAUUUAUAGGGACAAGUUGAAGGUCUGUAGAGUGCGUGAUUUUAGAAUAGUUUUAUUUCGUGGUGUUUCUGAGAUUUUUGACUGGGAAUUUGGAUUACAUAUCUUCACGUAAAUUCUAGAGGACAUCAAAAUGAAGAUUUUGACAUAAAGAACACUCAUUUGGAUUAAGUAGUGAGGGAAUUAUGGUCAUUUGAAGUUUGUAUUAGAAAUAUGAAAAAUACAGAGAGUUGUUCAAAUAGGAUUUUGUUUCUUAAGCUUGGUUUUCGUGAGUGUCAUCUUUAGUGCGACGUUAAGUCUAUUUUUUGAAAAUCAUAAUAUUUAGGGUUCUAAUACUCGGUUUGGUUGUUGACAGUCUAAGAAGAAUUAAAUCGAGCUUACAGAUCAUGGAUCUAGCUCAGACAGCGAGUGACAAAAUAGAUUUUCUAAAUUGUUAUUUUUACCUAUAUUUCUAUGAAUAGUACAUGAUUUCUAUGAACAGUUUCUAAACUGUUAUGUAUGAUUAUAUUUCUAUAGAUAGUACAUGAUUUCUAUGAAUGGCUUCGAGCAUAAGUUCAAGCGGAAAGUUUUAUGAUUAAAUUUAUAUAUGAGCACGUUAUUAUCGAAUUUUUGAAAAGUAGCUAAAACCAAAUCAUUUUAAGCAAGUAUUGUUUUUAUAUUUUUUUCAGUUUUCCACGAACAAUAUAAGUAUGCUUGAGCUUUACGAAAGAUAAAGAUAAUAGGCAUGUUUUAAUGUUUUCUGAUGUUUAUGUUAACUACAUGACAAAGACGUUGAGCCCGAGGCUAUAUGGUAUCGUGUGCACACGGUUUAGAUUCCAUUGUUGGCAUUGAGUGUACUCUGUAACAACAAUGCUGUUGUGAGUGCUAGGCUGGCCCCACUAUGACAAAGACGAUGGGAGUGUUGGGCGGGCCCCACUGCAUCGUAGAACUUGUAAAUAUUGGUGGUAUUGGGCGUGUCCUACCACAACGUAGAUUUUUCAUGUUAGUUAAAAUGUUUUGAUAUACUUGAUAUGCCUUGCUAGAUUUCAAUGACGUACAUGCUGAGUAUUUGAGAAAGCUAUUCUUACUAUUAUACAUUUAUAUUUACGACUCGUAUAAACAGAUUUAUAUGUGUAAAGCUUUCAUGUGCUCUUAUCUUUAAAUUCAUAGUUUUAAAUUGAGUCACUCACUAAGCUUUAUAGCUUACCCUUCCAAAAUGUUUUACCUAUUUUCCAGGUAGAGAUCGAGUUCCCGAUGCUUGAUAGACUGCCUUAAUCUACUGAAGCUCUAAUAUCGAUUGCAGUACAUGGUUAGAGUUGUAUACAAAGUCAGUUGUGUUAUGAUGUAUAUGUCUUUGUAUGAUAUAGAUACUCUAUAGUUUGUGGAAGUUGUAGGAGUUGCGGUUGUAUAAAUCUUUGUUGGUUAUGUUUUGGUUAAGGUGUCUCUAGUAAGUUUACUUUCGAAAUCAGUUAUUUCCGAGCUACACUUCAUGUAUGUAUAUGAUUAGUCUAGGUUCCACUUUGUUGUGUUCCAUGUAUAAUAGUUUAUAUACUAGAUUAGCAAGUUUAUCAAUUCAAGAAUUUAGUAGAGUCGAUAGAUAUCGUUAGAGGAAAGAAAUAUCAGUCGGCUUCACGUCGUCUUUCGGUCUAAGCUAGCAGGUAGUCUGGGAGGGGGUGUGACAAUUUAAUUUCAUUUCCUUAGGAUGACUUCAUUCUUUGUAGACAAAACUUCAAAAUAAAGUUGUUCUAGUUUAGUGUUAGAAAAGAGAAAACUGGUUAAAUCACCAUCAUCGAUAUGAGAACAUUUAUGGAAGUAGAAGGAUGUGAUCCUAAGUAUCCUAGGGCUGCUUGUAAACACUGUAGGGCUUCAUAUGCUUUUGAUUCCAAAAGAAGUGGUACAACUAAUCUAAAAAGACAUUUAGAGAAAUGUAAGAAGUAUACAAAUCCAUUGGAAGAUAACGUUGAAGGAGAGGGAGAUUCUAAAAGUAGUUUGAUGGCUACAUCCUUCAUUUCAGAAAAGUGUAAGACAAUGCUUGCUACUAUAGUUAUCUUGGAUGAAUUGUCAUUUAAGUUUAUAGAAAGUGAAGGGUUCAUCAAUUUUUUCAAGCAUUAAAUCUAAAGUCUGUGAUUCCAUCGAGAGUAACUGUUGCAAAGGAUUGUUUUCAAAUAUAUACGAGGGAAAAAAAGAAAAAGAGUUAACAAGUGCAUUUAUUUGAAGUGGCCAAAGAUUUUGUUUAACAAUUGAUACAUGGACUUCUUUGCAGAAUAUUAGUUAACCGACGACGACGACGUCUCUCCUGAUAAGUAACACUUUCUAUUUCUCAGUUUUCUCUAUUUCUUUGUUAAGAUAGUGAUAGUGUCGGUGUUUUCAUUGUUUCUUUAGCUUAAUACCCCAAUAAAGUGUUGUUUACGAGUCAAAAUCAUAUUGUGGACACAAGUUUUGGGUUUAGGCUUUUAUAAAUAACCUCUCCUUUUCCUUUUCCUUUUUCCUCACUAAUCUUAAACACAAUAAUUGGAUUGCUUGUCAUUUCUAUAUGUACAUAUGUAUUAAAAUAAAAAAUAAUCAAUAGUUGUUGGUAUAUCAAAUCGAAUCUGAACAAUGAGAGGAGAAAGUCUGGGUUUCUUUAAAUAUCUAGAUUAAAGAUGCAGAGGAGGCCACAUAGCAGAAGGGUUCACUGGAUUUGAUCAAUUUAACAGAACAACUUUCGAUGUUUUUUAUAUGUUUACCAAUUGAGAAUGACAAAACACCUUUGAAUUUCCCAUUUUUGUUGGUCUAACAAGAGUGCUUUACACACACAGAAGAGAUAAUGAGUCCCUUAUAUCUACAUACAUUUAUUCUUUUUUCUUAACUCUUUAUAUUCUCCCUCAGGUUACCGAGUGAAGUAUGUAGGGCCUUCUAUGAAUGAUGAAACUGAUAAGAGGUGGCUUUCUAACUUUGUUUUUUACACCAUUAUAUGAUUUGAAUACAAAGCAUAUCAUUAUUUCUUAUUCAGAUGGUGGAACUGUGAGAUGUAUUUUACAUUCAUGGACCUUCUAACUUCUCUUAUGAAGAUUUAGAAGAAAUUUUUAGGGGGAUUUUGUUUAUUGCUCAAGCAGAGAGCAGAGUGAAGUUCGGAUUAGGCUCUAGUGCUUUUGAUUGUUGUGACGUUUCCAUCAAUGAGUUUUGUUAUUUAUCCUUCCUUUUCUUUUUUAGUUCAACCAAAUUAUAAGAGACGCCUGUUAUUAUCUCUCUAGUUUUUACCGUUUGGCUUCAACAUUCUUUCCUGUAUCUACACCAACAUUUCUCGUUAAGUAGUAAAAGAUUGUUUAUUUUUGUAUUAUGUGAAA